AUGUGCCCCAGCACUGCGCUGCCCCUUGGGAUGAUCGCAGCAGGACGCGUGAGGCCCUGGGAGGCACGGCCUCGGCCCCAGGGAAUGGGCUGCCCUGGGGAUGAGAGGGAACGGCUUCAGACCAUCAUUAAUUGUUUAGAUGACAAAUGAGAUAAUGACCUAGUGUUAUCUCUCCAGCUAAAAUUGUCUGUUUUGCUAGCUCAACGUUAUAUGUAUUUUUUUUCUUAUGUUUGGCCUGUAAGUGAAGUAGAACUAGUAAAAUAAUGGUAAUUUUCUUCAGUUUCUCUUUUGUUUCUAGCUUUUUUCCGCCUUCUGACAAUUCUUGUAGGACCAUCACAGCAGUGUUCCAGAUUUCUGAGGAAGUGAAAUGGAGUUGCAAUUAGAAGCAAUAUGGUUUUGACACAUCAGAGAGCAUCAGUGUAAUUGCAAACAGUACUUCUGGUUUUGUUGACUCUUUAAACUGUUUGUUAAGAUGGUAUUGCCUACAACAGAUUGAGAGACUUCAAAUGAAGCAAGAAUAUUCAGUUAUCUGCACAAUGUUUAUUGUAUGGCUUUAGUGAAACCAGUUUAAAUAUCACUUUCAAAACUGACAUAAGAGUGCUACAUGUAAACAAGCCUGUAGUCAUGUGCAGCUGCUUCCUGAGAAAUUUUUUGAAUGUCACUGCUGCUGAAAAUGUAAGCUGGAUUUAUUAUGCCUGAUGCAAACUGUAUUUAUUUGUGCUCGUAUGUAGGCUCUGCUCACUCUAGGAAAAUGCUCUAUGCUGCACAUCAUGCAGUAACUGGCAGGACUGGAGCCCUACAGAAAUAUGAUAGAGGAGGUGAAUUGGUGGAUUCAAGUCCAAUAAUUUGUGAGCAUCUAGCUGAUGUACUUUUAUCUUUCUUUCCUUGAGAAAGUGUGUCAGGGGAAUUUGAUACAUCUUUUGUGAUGGAUUUUUCAUAGCAAAUAUCAGUCCCAACCAGUGAGUUAUUUUCUGUAUUUAAAUUGGUUUUGGAAUGGCAUAUAUUGCACUUAUGCAAAUUUUAUCAGGGAAAUCCAUUAUGGUCUUAUAAAUUCAGCAAAGGUUUCAGUGAUUUUAUCUUGUGUGCAUAUCCCACAAUUUAUUAUUAAAACAAACAUUGUUGAAGACUGUGGUAACAAACUAUGAUGACUUAUUUCACCAAUGAAUAACUUCUGGAUGGAAAUAUUUUCCAAUUAUAUAGUAGAAGUCACUUAUUAUCUAGUUGUACAUUUUAAUUUUUAUUAUAAGGACUUUUUUCCUAUAUUAAACAUUAAUCCAGAACUUUAUAUUAAACUAUUAAGAAAGUGAUCAAGAAUUAUUGCCAAGAUUAAACAAUCAUUAUGAAAAGUUAUAGGUACAGCACUUGGAAUGUUCAGUAAUUUUACUGUUUCAUCUUUUGUUUAUGUUUGUAGUAGAUAAGUUAUGGACAAUUGAAAGUGUCAUAUUUUUAAGCAAAAAAUUUAAAUCCAGUUCUCUAAACUGUGAUGAAUCAGAAAAAAAGUAUAUAUACAAAUAACAAAGAGCUCUAAAGGAUAAACUUCCCUUGUGGUCUGGUUCUUUCCCUGUUCAAAAGGACAUGAAUUUAAAUCUGAGCAGGAUCUUCAGUAUAGUACUUAACUGCUGCAUAGGGAGUAAGAGAAAAUGUGGAAAGAAGGGAAAUUUGAAGGGAAGAAGGGAAGUUUUCUUUGAUGUUUUCUAUAAUCUGUAUUUUUAUGGCAAUGUUGCAAAUCACAUAGCUGGCAAAUGAACUGUGGAAGCACUGCAAGUUAGAAUUAAUGAAUAUUCAUAAGCUCACUUACCAUAUCAAGAAUGAAAGCUUGGUAGGUUUUAGUGCUAGUGUUGCAGCUGUCUUGCAUAUUUGUACAUAAUAUAUAAUCAAGAUAAUGAAUUCUUUGUCUUGAUAAUAUUUUUUAUUAUGCUGUUGUGAUCCUUAAUGUUUCAUGUAUGGUCCUUUGUGAUGCAUGAUUUAAGAGCUCCAUUCUUAUCAAAUUAAAUGGAUUCUUAACUAAA